rnacentral:rRNA from 1 species
UACGUAGGGGGCUAGCGUUGCUCGGAAUUACUGGGCGUAAAGGGCGCGUAGGCGGAUAUUUAAGUUGGGGGUGAAAUCCCGGGGCUCAACCUCGGAAUUGCCUUCAAAACUGGAUAUCUUGAGUUCGGGAGAGGUGAGUGGAACUCCGAGUGUAGAGGUGAAAUUCGUAGAUAUUGGGAAGAACACCGGUGGCGAAGGCGGCGACCUGGUCCGAUACUGACGCUGAGGCGCGAAAGCGUGGGGAGCAAACAGG